ACUCAAAUGAAUUGACGGGGACUUGCACAAGCAGUGGAUUAUGUGGUUCAAUUCGAUGGUAAACGAAGAACCUUACCAGGGUUAGAAAUCCAAGUGAAAUCCCUAAGAAACUAGGGACCUCGCAAGACUCUUGGACAGGUGAUGCAUGGCCGUCGUCAGUUCGUGGUUUGAAUUGUUCCCUUAAGUGGGGUAACGAACGCAACCCUCGUUGUCUGUUAUACGUGUCAGACGAGACCGCCCACGACUUUGAGCACAACAAUAAAAUGUUGCGAGCAGAGUCGUGGGAGGAAGGAGAGGAUGACGCCAGGUCAGCAUGUCCCUCUGAUACCCUGGGCUACACACAUAAUACAAUGGCCACUACAACGCGCAGCGACGGGGCGACCCUGAGCUAAUCGUAAGAAAAGUGGCCUCAGUUCGGAUUGAAGUCUGCAACUCGACUUCAUGAAGCUGGAAUUGCUAGUAAUCGCGGGUCAGCUAAACCGCGGUGAAUACGUUCUCAAGUCUUGUACACACCGCCCGU
rnacentral:rRNA from 1 species